CUUUUAUGGAGAGUUUGAUCCUGGCUCAGGACGAACGCUGGCGGCGUGCCUAAUACAUGCAAGUCGAGCGAAUGAUGAAGAAGCUUGCUUCUUCUGA
rnacentral:rRNA from 1 species